CAUUGACAUAGCAUUCAGAUAAACUGCACCUUUUUUCUAUUAUCAUAGCAGGAGAAAUAGUCAGUGGAGAGAUGAAAUAACAGAUUAUAAGGAUCAGGCAAUACUGGCUGACUAUAUAAAUAGUGUAAAUGAGAAUAAACGAUUGCAUUACGUGCUAGGUAGAUUAAGAAUAUGGUUAAAGGACCACUAUGGUGCCAGGAAACCAAACUCUUUUUCCUGG